rnacentral:rRNA from 1 species
UGGGGAAUAUUGCACAAUGGGGGAAACCCUGAUGCAGCGACGCCGCGUGAGCGAGGAAGUAUUUCGGUAUGUAAAGCUCUAUCAGCAGGGAAGAAAAUGACGGUACCUGACUAAGAAGCCCCGGCUAACUACGUGCCAGCAGCCGCGGUAAUACGUAGGGGGCAAGCGUUAUCCGGAUUUACUGGGUGUAAAGGGAGCGCAGGCGGUCCUGCAAGUCUGGUGUGAAAGCCCGGGGCUCAACCCCGGGACUGCAUUGGAAACUGUGGGACUUGAGUGUCGGAGGGGCAAGUGGAAUUCCUAGUGUAGCGGUGAAAUGCGUAGAUAUUAGGAGGAACACCAGUGGCGAAGGCGGCUUGCUGGACGAUAACUGACGCUGAGGCUCGAAAGCGUGGGGAGCAAACAGGAUUAGAUACCC